UACGGGGGGGGCAAGCGUUGUUCGGAAUUACUGGGCGUAAAGGGUUCGUAGGUGGCCAACUAAGUCAGACGUGAAAUCCCUCAGCUUAACUGGGGAACUGCGUCUGAGACUGGAUGGCUUGAGUGCAGGAGAGGAACGCGGAAUUCCAGGUGUAGCGGUGAAAUGCGUAGAUAUCUGGGAGACGACGGUGCGAAGGCGGCGUUCUGGACUGCUACUGACACUGAGGAACGAAAGCCAGGGGAGCAAACGGG
rnacentral:rRNA from 1 species